UCCUGCACCAAGACCACUUCAUUGAAAGGAAUAGUCCCUUUAACCCCUUAAGGACACAUGACAUGUGUGACAUGUCCUGAUUCCCUUUUAUUCCAGAAGUUUGAUUCUUAAGGGGUUAAAUACAGGACAUAGUGCCCAUAGACUCUUUGCACCACAACUACUAUAUUGAGCUAUGGUGGUUAUGGUUUCUUUUGAGCAUUUAUAUAUAAGAAAUACACAGUGGAAAAAUAAUUAUAA